rnacentral:rRNA from 1 species
CAGGAGYGGAGCCUGCGGCUUAAUUUGACUCAACACGGGGAAACUCACCCGGCCCGGACACUGUGAGGAUUGACAGRUUGAUAGCCCUUUCUUGAUUCAGUGGGUGGUGGUGCAUGGCCGUUCUUAGUUGGUGGAGUGAUUUGUCUGGUUAAUUCCGAUAACGAACGAGACUCUAGCCUACUAAUUAGACUGAGGCAUCCUCCGUGCGUGCCUCAGCGACUUCCUAGAGGGACAGACGGCGUUUCAGCCGYAYGAGAAAGAGCAAUAACAGGUCUGUGAUGCCCUUAGAUGUCCGGGGCCGCACGCGCGCUACACUGAAGAGAUCAGCGUGUAUGUGCAUCYUACUCCGAGAGGAGCGGGAAACCGAGUGAACCCUUUUCGUGCUUGGGAUUGGAGCUURUAAUUAUUCUCCAUGAACGAGGAAUUCCCAGUAAGUGCAAGUCAUCAGCUUGCAUUGAUUAYGUCCCUGCCCUUUGUACACACCGCCCGUCGCUACUAUCGAUUGGAUGAUUUGGUGAGACCUUC